rnacentral:rRNA from 1 species
UACAGAGGUCUCAAGCGUUGUUCGGAUUCAUUGGGCGUAAAGGGUGCGUAGGUGGCACUGUAAGUCGGGUGUGAAAUCCUGAGGCUUAACCUCGGAACUGCAUUCGAUACUGCGGUGCUUGAGGACUGGAGAGGAGACUGGAAUUUACGGUGUAGCGGUGAAAUGCGUAGAUAUCGAGAGGAACACCUGCGGCGAAGGCGGGUUGCUGGGCUGACACUGACGCUGAUGCGCGAAAGCCAGGGGAGCGAACGGG